ensembl:miRNA
GCGGCGGCGGCCGAGAUGGCGGCGGGGCCCGGGCACCGCCCCUUCCGUCCCGCCGGGCGUCGCACGAGGC